GAAUGCGAGUGCAAUCUGUGUAUGACCUCUGUCACCCUAUUGAUAGAGUUCAUUCAGCUGAUCUGGCUGACUAGGCAGCUACCCUCUUCCUCCCUCAGUGGCCUGUGUAUGUCUCUUUUGAAACUAUUUGCUUGGCCAAAGAGGACAACUACCUCCGAUAGAGUGUAAGAGUCACUGAGCUCCACUGCUAAAAACUCCAAAUAAGCUCUCAAGAAUAUAUUUGAAGAAUUUAAAAAAGCAAAAACAAUCAAACAAAUUCAAACAGACAAACCAAGACAUUCAAAAGUGGUAAGUGAAACUCUGUCAUUCUUU
rfam:Fukomys damarensis contig146002, whole genome shotgun sequence.